rnacentral:rRNA from 1 species
UACGUAGGGGGCGAGCGUUGUCCGGAUUUAUUGGGCGUAAAGAGCUCGUAGGCGGUUUGUCGCGUCUGCUGUGAAAACCCGAGGCUCAACCUCGGGCCUGCAAUGGGUACGGGCAGACUAGAGUGCGGUAGGGGAGAUUGGAAUUCCUGGUGUAGCGGUGGAAUGCGCAGAUAUCAGGAGGAACACCAAUGGCGAAGGCAGAUCUCUGGGCCGUAACUGACGCUGAGGAGCGAAAGCAUGGGGAGCGAACAGG